ensembl:lncRNA LOC102554222 uncharacterized LOC102554222
CCCAGCUUGGGGUGAGAUCUGGGCAUCAAGAGUUUCAAAGAGCAUGCAGGAACUCUGAUAUGCAGCCGGCAUGGAGACCAACCCGACAUACAGUAGGCGCACAGCACUGCUGAAGUCUGAUGUUCUGCUCUGAGGACCUCUUCCAGCCAGCAUGCCGUGCCUAAGUGAGAAGAAGUGGCCAGAGGAAGCUAUGUACCUCUGAGUGUGGGAGUCCUACUCAUGUACAUUGUAUGUGUCUGUAUGGAGCUUUGUGCCCCUAAGUGUGGCAGUCCUUGGAAGCCAGAAGCUGCAGAUCGUCCUGGAGCUGGUCAUACAGGCAGUUGUGAGCCCCGACGAUUCAGGUCGUCUGGAGGAUCAACAAUGAAAAAUCCUGAACAAAGUAUUACUGGGAGCUGGGGAGAUGCCAGUAUCACCGAUUGUUUGCCAUGCAAGCAUAAAGACUUGAGUUGGACUGGAGAGAUGGCUCAGUGGUUAAGAACACUGACUGCUCUUCCAGAGGUCCCAAGUUCAAACCCCAGCAACCACAUGGUGGCUCACAACCAUCUGUAAUGAGAUCUGAUGCUUUCAUCUGGUGUGUCUGAAGACAGCUACAAUGCACUCAUAUAUAAUAAAUAAAUAAGUCUUUAAAAAAAAUGGAGAAAUGGCUCAGAGGUUAAGAGCACUGUCUGCUCUUCCAGAGGUCAUGAGUUCAAUUCCCAGCAACCACAUGGUGGCUCACAACCAUCUAUAAUGAGAUCUGGUGCCCUCUUCUGGCCUGCAC